AUCAUGUGCCACAAAAAGAAUAACAAGUUAGUAAAAUAAUGUCUAUUCUGAACUAUUUUAGACUAGUGCUACAUCCAAAGACUUAGAGUUAGACAGUAGUUCUACUUCUAAGAGGAGAUGCCAAGAAACUGAGCUAGUGAUGAUGAUGCAGUUCAACCAUGAUAAUUAUUUUGAUGCUGAUGAGUCAAGCCACUCCACAGCAAGUGGAGAAUGUUACAGAUAUAGUAAACUAUUUUAACAGAUGCAUCAUGGAGAAUGAACUGCCAGGCAGCAAGAAUCUCUAUGGGAUCUAUUUGAUCGGUGACGGGAUCGAAAACAAAAAUGAUAAUAAAAAAACAUCCUUUUGGACCUUUCAUAAAUGAUCCAUAAAACAAAAUUCCUUAUUGCUGCUGGACAGAAUGUUGAUUUUAAUGAUUUCAGGCUCUGGAAUGUACAGGAAGGGGUUGGUAGAAUAUUGUUGGUAUAAUAGACAUCACUUCUACUUGUCGACAAGCUUUAAAAAUACAUAAUGUACAGGUAGGGGUGGUAGAUUAUUGCUGGUAUUAUAAUAGGCACCACUUUCAAAAUGUGUAACCUCCCUAAAGACGUGAGCAUUGGUACAAGCAAAAAAGAACUGGUAUCUCCGAGGCACUAAAUUUACGCGGUUUACCUUUGAAAAUUAGUGCCUUGAAACCUUUCGGUAUUGAAGUACCUCUCUACUGCAGGGUAUCCGAAAAUAUAGUGACCUCAGCCCAGCAGUUUGUUGCAUCAACCAGAGACUCUGGGAGGCCACUAUUCCAUCGUAGCUCAAUUAAUUAUGUUGGUAUUCUGGCCUUAUAUAAUGUGUCAGUUGUACAAUUUUAAAUGUGGAGAAAUUACACGGUUCCCAUUAUUACUUUGCCCCAGCCUGCGAUCUAGUUGCAAUAUCCUAUGGUCUUAGGUGUAGACAUGUCGUUACCUUACUUAUUUUGCUACCCAGAAAUGGAAUCGAAAACAACAAAAACAAAGCGAACAAACGGUUCUGCUACUAAUUCUUCCUCAAUGUGAACCUGACCCAUCAUAUUUACAUCCUCAGUUAUUAACAGGCCAAAACAAAUGGAAAAAAAUUUGCCUCCACCAUGGGGGAGGGGCAGCUGCUGAUAGCAAUGCUAAUCAGCUUCACCAACAUCAACAUGAAACACCCCAUAUACGGGUUUCUGAAGUAGUUCACAAUUGUUUGGCCCCAGGAAUCGUAGUGGGACCAGACGAAAACGCAAUUCCGUCACCACGUCGAGGUGCAACUGCUGCCCUGAGCCUGGUGGCAGCGUCAAAGUGGGUAAAUGACUCUGCCAUACAAGUUAUCGGCCUUAAUGAGUACAACAGGUGCCGGGCAACCGAUGAGCACAGCGUACCCAUCCAACAAAAAAAAAAAGAGAGGGAUUAGAAACGAGGUACCCUCGAAGUACCAUCCGUGCGGUUUUAAUCGAGGCUUACUUCCAAUCCCUCUCUUCUUUAGGAGUGAGAGGAAUUGAACAUUCAAUAUUUACUCCCCUGGUACUAUCAGUUUCGGGAGGAAUGGGAAGAUCAGCUACUACCUUCUACAAGAGACUAGCAGGAAUGAUCUGUGAAAAGAAACUCCCUACAGCAAAACAAUUGGGUUAAUAGGAUGUAAACUAAGUUUUUCCCUGAGAUCCACCAUCAUGGCUAUCAGGGGGGCCAGGUCCUCCAUUAAACAAAGAGCACUUCGUGAACCAAUUUCCCUCCAUCUGCAGAAGGACACCUACAAACUACUAAAGUUUAGGUUCUAUAAUUAUAACUAGUACAGGCAUAUAUUUAUAUUUCUGUAUCUGCACUAUAAAUAUUGGCC